CUACAAAAGAAAUUGUGUAUUGUAUCAUUUAAAUUGUAUCAGUUAAAUAAAUGAUCUCAUUUUAAAUCACUUAUUCCUAAAUGAGACAAAUAUUAAUAAUUUGAAAUCAAUUAUAGGAAUUGAUGUUAUUAUUAACUAAUGUUGCAUCAGUUCAGUAAAAUGAUAUAUUUUUUCAUUAAUUUGUAUCACUUUAAGAAAAAUGAUAUUAUUUUAUAAAUUUAUAUCACUUAAAUAAUUGAUGUAUGUAUUAGUUUGGUUAACAUCACUUAUUAACAUGAUACAUAAUUGACAUCAGUUAAAAAUGAUACUAGUUAAAAUUAUAUAAUUAUAUUUUCAUCAAUUUACUAAAAUAAUAUUAUUUACUUUAGGUUGCCUCUAAAUAUUUGAAAGUAGAAAAUUAAUUUGCAUUAAUAAAAUAAUUAAUUAACAGAUAUAUAACGUAAUAUUAACAUGGAAUUAUGUGUAGCAAAGCAAAUCUGUUGCAAUCCCAAAAAAAUAGGAACCACGAACACGUCCAGUUGAAACAACUGAUCACUUGAACCAAUCGUUAAAAUUAGUUUUCUACAAAUAUUAACGAUACGAGAAGUAGUUAAUAUCUUGUGGCUUUAAUGAAUGCAUCUUAUUUUCUUUUUUGUCAAGAUCCUCUCUCGUUAAGCCUUCGUCUUCCUCUUCAGUUCUUAAACUUGUUUAUGAGUUUAAAAUUUAUUGUUCUAAGUUUUUUGAUAAAAAACAAAAUUUCAACAAGCAUCAAACAUUUAUUUCUCAUAUGAGUCAUGAUGUUGAUUUUGUUUCUUCUUGUGGAGGAUAUGACAAAGAGACCAAGGUUUGCUAAUCAGACUAAUACGCUGGAAAACUCUCAAAAGGAAUUGGAGUCUUCGAAUAUUUUAGAAGUUGACUCAAAAUCUGGGAAAAGAGUAGACGUCAGAGAAUAUCGCCGGGUGGAGAGUUAUACGAUGAAUCUCGUUAACUCAGCUUCAUGCCAUCAACUGAGACGAAGAAUGGAAAUAGAGAUCUAAAGAUCUAGAAGAAGAAGAAGAAAAGAAGGCAAAAAAACAAUGUUGAAGUUUCGUCUAUGUAAUUUUUUUUAAUUUUUUUUUCUGGCUUAUACGUUAGAUUGUAAUUUUUAAUGGAAAUAAAAUUAAAAAUUGAUUAAA